rnacentral:rRNA from 1 species
AUACGGAGGAUCCGAGCGUUAUCCGGAUUUAUUGGGUUUAAAGGGUGCGCAGGCGGGAGAUUAAGUCGGCGGUGAAAUUUUGCAGCUCAACUGUAAAAGUGCCUUCGAAACUGGUUUCCUUGAGUGUAGAUGAAGUAGGCGGAAUUUGUGGUGUAGCGGUGAAAUGCAUAGAUAUCACGAGGAACUCCGAUUGCGCAGGCAGCUUACUAAACUACUACUGACGCUCAGGCACGAAGGCGUGGGGAUCAAACAGGAUUAGAUACCCUGGUAGUCCACGCAGUAAACGAUGAUUACUAGCUGUUUGCGAUACAAUGUAAGCGGCUGAGCGAAAGCGUUAAGUAAUCCACCUGGGGAGUACGUUCGCAAGAAUGAAACUCAAAUGAAUUAACGGGG